GUAGGGAAUCUUCGGCAAUGGGGGCAACCCUGACCGAGCAACGCCGCGUGAGUGAAGAAGGUCUUCGGAUCGUAAAACUCUGUUGUUAGAGAAGAACACGAGUGAGAGUAACUGUUCAUUCGAUGACGGUAUCUAACCAGCAAGUCACGGCUAACUACGUGUCAG
rnacentral:rRNA from 1 species